UCCAGUGUUUGCACUGGCCAAAGAGCAGAGGAGGAUACCUACCUGGGAUUGAAUCAGUGCAGCGUUCUGUAUGAUAUCUUCAACCUGAAGAAUUUGGAAGUGCUACUUGUGUUAAUAUUAGGAUGGGGGUCCUCGCCACUCUGUGUCACAAUAGUGAAUUGGCUUGAGAUUCGGCACCUAUUUGAAGUAGAAUCAGAUCGUCUGCAGCAUCCUUUUGUUGCUGUUUCAAGGCCCAUCUUUCCUUUUUACUUUUCUACCUCAAGUUAUCGCCUCUUUGAAGUCCGUGGACAUUGACUCGACAGUCAGGAAAUGAGACCCUUAAGGAGAGCCACUGUAUUUUUUUUUUUUGAAAAUGAAAGGUUAUAGUGCCACCAGUUCAGAAGGAAUUUAAUUGAAUUCUCUGCAGAUAGAUAAGGUGGAAUAAGUUUUAUUUGGUGACAUUUUCAUAGACUAACUUCUGGAGACUUGUAAUUUAAGCACAACAAAGAAGAAAACCGGCUGGAGGGGCACCACAGCUCUCGGAGAAUGCUCCAGGUCCCAAAUAGAGCCGAUAUCACCGGGAGGUCCCAGAUGGGGUAGGUGCUGCAUCCUGCCUUCUCCAGAUGGAACCCUGAUGACCACGAGCCUGCAAGCGGGCACCAGGACAUUCUUUCCAAACUGCGUGGCUGCUUAUGUGGCCGCGCGACACCUCCUUAUAUACAAAGUGAUCAAUGGAAAGUAAAUCAUCCAGCGUUUCUCCCUGAAAAUCAGACUUAACUCUUUUGCAAACCACAGCACCCAAAAGG